UAUCUCUGUAGAGUCUGCAUAUCAAUAAGCGGAGGAAAAGAAACUAACAAGGAUUCCCUUAGUAACGGCGAGUGAAGCGGGAAGAGCUCAAAUUUGAAAUCUUCAAGGUUCUACCUUGACGAAUUGUAGUUUAAAGAAGUGUUUUCUGUUAGAUGAGUAGCAAAAGUUCCUUGGAAUGGGGCAUCAUAGAGGGUGAGAAUCCCGUAUUUGGUUAUUCAUUCUAGCUUUGCGAUACACUUUCAAAGAGUCGGAUUGUUUGGGAAUGCAGUCCAAAAUGGGUGGUAAAUUUCAUCUAAAGCUAAAUAUUGGCGAGAGACCGAUAGCGAACAAGUACCGUGAGGGAAAGAUGAAAAGAACUUUGAAAAGAGAGUUAAACAGUACGUGAAAUUGUCAAAAGGGAAGCGUUUGACACCAGUGUUGUUUUUCCGAAAAUCAAUUACGAAUGGCUUGAUUUUGUGUUGUAUUGACCUUAUCAGCUUUCUUCACUUUUUUCGAGUCUUUCUUAAUGCACUUUUUCGGUUAACAAGUCAACAUCAAUUUCUUUUGUUGUAAAAGAGUAUUCGGAAGGUGGCUUUCUUUUCGGAGAAAGUGUUUAUAGCCCUAUACUUCUACAAUCGGAGAGAUUGAGGUCUGCAGCGUAGAUCCUUCGGGGUUAGAUACACUUGUGCUAAGUUGUAGCUUUUCAUAGACAACUUGUUGACUAUGUUUAGUCAUGCGGCUUACUCGCUUGUGCUAUUUUACCUACGCUUAGGAUGUUGACUGAUAUGUAGUCGU
rnacentral:rRNA from 1 species